rnacentral:rRNA from 1 species
GCUUAUGGCCAUGCUACCCUGAACGCGCCCAAUCUUGUUUGAUCUCAGAAGCUAAACAGGGUCGGGCUUGGUUAGUACUUGGAUGGGAGACCGCCUAGGAAGACCAGGUGCUAUAGGAG